rnacentral:rRNA from 1 species
GACGAACGCUGGCGGCGUGCUUAACACAUGCAAGUCGAACGGAAAGGCCUUUUCGGCGGUACUCGAGUGGCGAACGGGUGAGUAACACGUGGGUGAUCUGCCCUGCACUCUGGGAUAAGGCUGGGAAACUGGGUCUAAUACCGGAUAGGACCGCACUUUAGUGUGUGUGGUGGAAAGUUUUUUCGGUGUAGGAUGAGCCCGCGGCGUAUCAGCUUGUUGGUGGGGUAAUGGCCUACGAAGGCGGCGACAGGUAGCCGGACUGAGAGGUUGGUCGGCCACAUUGGGACUGAGAGACGGCCCAGACUCCUACGGGAGGCAGCAGUGGGGAAUAUUGCACAAUGGGCGCAAGCCUGGUGCAGCGACGCCGCGUGGGGGAUGACGGCCUUCGGGUUGUAAACUCCUUUCGCCAGGGACGAAGCGUUUUGUGACGGUACCGGGAGAAGAAGCACCGGCUAACUACGU